CCUACGGGCGGCAGCAGUGGGGGAUAUUGCACAAUGGGGGGAACCCUGAUGCAGCGACGCCGCGUGGGUGAAGGAGCGUUUCUGCUCUUUAAGCCCUAUCUGCAGGGAAGAAAAUGACGGUACCUGAGUAAGAAGCCCCGGCUAACUACGUUCCAGCACCCGCGGUAAUACGUAGGGGGCAAGCGUUAUCCGGAUUUACUGGGUGUAAAGGGAACGCAGACGGCUGUGCAAGUCUGGAGUGAAAGUGUGGGGCCCAACCACCAGACUGCUGUGGACACUGUAAAGAUGGAGUGCAGGAGAGGUAAGCGGAAUGCCUAGUGUAGCGGUGAAAUGCGUAGAUAUUAGGCGGAACACCAGUGGCGAAGGCGGCUUACUGGACUGCAACUGACGUUGAGGCUCGAAAGCGUGGGGAGCAAACAGGAUUAGAUACCCGAGUAGUC
rnacentral:rRNA from 1 species